AUACGGAGGGUGCAAGCGUUAUUCGGAAUCACUGGGCGUAAAGGACGCGUAGGCGGGUUGGCAAGUCAGAUGUGAAAUCCUACAGCUUAACUGUAGAACUGCAUUUGAAACUGCUAACCUAGAGUAUGGGAGGGGGAGAUGGAAUUAGUGGUGUAGGGGUAAAAUCCGUAGAUAUUACUAGGAAUACCGAAAGCGAAGGCGAUCUCCUGGAACAUAACUGACGCUAAGGCGUGAAAGCGUGGGGAGCAAACAGGAUUAGAAACCCUAGUAGUCC
rnacentral:rRNA from 1 species